rnacentral:lncRNA from 1 species
GGCAGAUCUCUGGCAAGUUCCAGAAAGACUUGUAGAUUCUCAACAAGUUCCAUUGGCACACCACCACAGAAACUUCUCCACCACCUGCCGAGACACUGUGGUUCCCUCUCAGCCCAGGGCUAGGAGGAAGACUCUUCCUAGGACUCCUUGCAUCUGCUGUACCCACCUAUAUUCUUCAGGGCUAUCUUUACAACUUACUAGCCAACCUUUUGCUACUCUAAUCUGCUAUUAAGGUUAAUGAUUAAACAUAUUAAACAUUUCCAUUCAAAUGACUGUGUGGUUUCUCUCUCCUAGUUGGACCCAGACUGACACUCUUGCCUGAGGGCACAGACCAGGGAGCAGCAAUCAAUACUGGACACCAGGCAGCUUCCACGCUUGACAGUGUUGCCAGACCCUCGCGUGGGCAGGAGGGCACAGCUCUCUAGGAGGCAACAUUAUCCACUGGAGCAUCUAGAAGCACAAGUACUUCCAUGAUGGUCAGAGGCAGAAGAGGAUGCGGAGCAGGGUAGAAGACUCUCAUGACUACCUGCACGCCACCAUCUUCCCCGGCCUGGCGCAAUUGCCUUCAGGAUAUGUACAGCAUGACCCACAGGGAUUUCACUUCAUGGAAUGCAAAACCAACCUGCAUGAGCUUUGUUUGAAAACAAAACAAAACAAAACGAAAACAAAACAAAACAAAACAGAGAAAUCCUAUCUAUAAAAUUACUCUUAAUGGAAAUUCUGCCUGUAUAAAAUUAAAGUGGCAGGUGAGAACCAUUUUCAGCUUGCUUAUGGGUCUCUUACAGAUUUUCCUUGAAGUUUCAUGUGUUCUAAUUCCCUGAUAUGGAGGGAAGAGACUACAGUUGUGUUUACCUCGAAUUAUCAUUCAAAUAGAGGUGGUGUUUUCCCCCAGUAAAAUUACUAAGGUAAAUUGCCUAUUUCUAUAUUUCUGGAAAAUACUUUUUUCCCCAAAAAGUCUUGCAUCUGCCUCAUUAUUGGAUCCAAACUACAGUGUCUAUUGCUAAUUUAACUUGGUAAGGCCAGACUUCCUCAAGCCCUUGCCUGUGUCAAAGUCAGCAAACAACCAGGUACCAAGAUUUCAGUGCUUCUGAGAACUACUCAGGUAAGGUCAAAGCCCAGACAUCCCAUUAAUCUCUAUAAACACAUGUGGGUGUUUAUUGUAAUCCUCAUAUCACCUCUGUGCACACACAUACACAAGGACAAGUGGCCUCAAUAUUCAGACAGUUGACAGUGUCACCAGAAGGCAGCAAAGAUCACCCUGCCACCAGCAUGAUUCGUUGUUUUUGGAGCUGGGCUGUUUUUCCUCCAUGCAGAGCCCUUAUCUACAGCUCUGAUUGCAAACUUCAUUUUCCCUACUGAAGAGGUAAUCUAAAUGAUAAUCAAGUUCACACGAUUUAUUAGGACAAUGCUUUCCAGAAGCCUAUUUUCUGAAGUCACCCCGAGCACUUUGAAGGAUGUUUUAGACAUUUGCUUCCCCUAUCUUAGAAACACCAAAACCAAGAGAUACCCGUUGGAGAGAAUUCAGCAGGGAGUCAAUAAGCCAGCCUGGAGUAUAGACGUCAAGUCUCUACCUUCCUGAAUCUCCUACUAAAGAUUGGACCUUCACAAAGAAUGGAAAUGGGUUGUGUUUAAGGGAACCCCCAACAUGUGUGAAUUCUAAGAUCACAAGGCUGUGCAUUAUGCAAUUCCAAAGUCACUAGGUCUCUGCCGCCGGCCGUUAGAGUAAUUCCAUCACGGUUCUCAGGGUUUAAACUUGAACAUUUCUGUUCAGCUCACCAUGGUGGACCCUCUAAUUUUCUUGAUGUAGGCAAUAGGAGAGUGGUCUAUCUUGAACCAAAUUAGCCCUCCAGAAAUUAAACAGCACAGGUUACACCAUAUGAAGGUGAGUUAACGACUCAUAGGUGGUUUGGCUCUGAAGUGCUCUCAUGAUAAAAU